rnacentral:rRNA from 1 species
GACGAACGCUGGCGGCGUGCUUAACACAUGCAAGUCGAACGGACAGGCCCUGCUUUUGUGGCGUGCUCGAGUGGCGAACGGGUGAGUAACACGUGAGUAACCUGCCCUUGACUUUGGGAUAACUUCAGGAAACUGGGGCUAAUACCGGAUAGGAGCUCCUGCUGCAUGGUGGGGGUUGGAAAGUUUCGGCGGUCGCGGAUGGACUCGCGGCUUAUCAGCUUGUUGGUGGGGUAGGGGCUUACCAAGGCUUUGACGGGUAGCCCGCCUGAGAGGGGGACCGGGCCCAUUGGGACUGCGGUAGGGACCAGUAGGGUACGGGAGGCAGUGGUGGGAAGUAUUGCACAGUGGGGGGAAGCCUGUUACAGCAGCGCCGCGUGCGGGAUGACGGCUUUCGGGUUGUAAACCGCUUUCGCCUGAGACGAAGCGUGAGUGACGGUACUGGGUAAAGAAGCACCGGCUAACUACGUG